CCCUUAGAUGUUCUGGGCCGCACGCGCGCUACACUGAUGCAUUCAACGAGCACCCGCUGGGCCGAGAGGUCCGGCUAAUCUUUGAACGUGCAUCGUGCUGGGGAUAGAUGAUUGCAAUUAUUCAUCUUCAACGAGGAAUUCCUAGUAAACGCAAGUCAUCAGCUUGCAUUGAUUACGUCCCUGCCCUUUGUACACACCGCCCGUCGCACCUACCGAUUGAAUGGUCCGGUGAAGCCUCGGGAUUGUGGCUGGUUUCCUUUAUUGGAGGUCGGUCGCGAGAACUUGUCUAAACCUUAUCAUUUAGAGGAAGGUGAAGUCGUAACA
rnacentral:rRNA from 1 species